GACGAACGCUGGCGGCGUGCUUAACACAUGCAAGUCGAACGGAAAGGCCCUGCUUUUGUGGGGUGCUCGAGUGGCGAACGGGUGAGUAACACGUGAGUAACCUGCCCUUGACUUUGGGAUAACUUCAGGAAACUGGGGCUAAUACCGGAUAGGAGCUCCUGCUGCAUGGUGGGGGUUGGAAAGUUUCGGCGGUUGGGGAUGGACUCGCGGCUUAUCAGCUUGUUGGUGGGGUAGUGGCUUACCAAGGCUUUGACGGGUAGCCGGCAUGAGAGGGUGACCGGCGACAUUGGGACUGAGGGACGGCCCAGACUCCUACGGGAGGCAGCAGUGGGGAAUAUUGCACAAUGGGCGGAAGCCUGAUGCAGCAACGCCGCGUGCGGGAUGACGGCCUUCGGGUUGUAAACCGCUGUCGCCUGUGACGAAGCGUGAGUGACGGUAAUGGGUAAAGAAGCACCGGCUAACUACGUG
rnacentral:rRNA from 1 species